rnacentral:rRNA from 1 species
UACGUAGGGUGCAAGCGUUGUCCGGAAUUAUUGGGCGUAAAGAGCUCGUAGGCGGUUUGUUGCGUCGGCUGUGAAAUCCCGAGGCUCAACCUCGGGUCUGCAGUCGAUACGAGCAAACUAGAGUGUUGCAGGGGAGACUGGAAUUCCUGGUGUAGCGGUGAAAUGCGCAGAUAUCAGGAGGAACACCGGUGGCGAAGGCGGGUCUCUGGGCAACAACUGACGCUGGAGGAGCGAAAAGCGUUGGGGAGCGAACAGG